CCGACAGAGACCCUUCGGUUCGUGACUCCGUCCGGUUACUGACGCACUGAUUCCAAAACAAAAACAAAUCCGACCAGCUAGAUUUGGUACACGCCUCCCCGCCUCGUUCAUUGUUAACGGACACAGCACUAACAGCACUGAUUCCAAAAUGGAAUGUGGCCUAUAACUAUAGCGUGGUCGGUAGAACCUUGAAAAGACUCCGUGUCUCGACGCGUCAUGCUACGCCGGUCGUUUGCGGCUCAGAAAACGACAGUGUUUUGCAAGAACCCGCACACGGACGGGUACGGCCUUGAAGACUAUUGUUUGCAAGGCAAACGUUGGCGAUUUUUAUGUUCGUUUUUCCUUGUACUCUUCUUGUAAGGAAAACACAACGUGAUAGAAGACGAAAAAACACACACAAACAAUCGAUUAUGAA